GUUUGAUCCUGGCUCAGAUUGAACGCUGGCGGCAUGCCUAACACAUGCAAGUCGAACGGGGCACUUCGGUGCCUAGUGGCGGACGGGUGAGUAAGGCGUAGGAAUCUGCCUUGCGGUGGGGGACAACCUGGGGAAACUCAGGCUAAUACCGCAUACGCUCGCGAGAGGAAAGCGGGGGAUCUUCGGACCUCGCGCCGGAAGAAGAGCCUACGUCCGAUUAGCUAGUUGGUAGGGUAAAAGCCUACCAAGGCGACGAUCGGUAGCUGGUCUGAGAGGAUGAUCAGCCACACUGGGACUGAGACACGGCCCAGACUCCUACGGGAGGCAGCAGUGGGGAAUAUUGGACAAUGGGCGCAAGCCUGAUCCAGCAAUGCCGCGUGGGUGAAGAAGGCCUGCGGGUUGUAAAGCCCUUUAAGUGGGGAGGAA
rnacentral:rRNA from 1 species